rnacentral:rRNA from 1 species
CCUACGGGUGGCAGCAGUGGGGAAUAUUGGGCAAUGGGCGCAAGCCUGACCCAGCAACGCCGCGUGAAGGAAGAAGGCUUUCGGGUUGUAAACUUCUUUUCUCAGGGACGAAGAAAGUGACGGUACCUGAGGAAUAAGACACGGCUAACUACGUGCCAGCAGCCGCGGUAAUACGUAGGUGGCAAGCGUUAUCCGGAUUUACUGGGUGUAAAGGGCGUGUAGGCGGGAAAGCAAGUCAGAUGUGAAAACCAUGGGCUCAACCUGUGGCCUGCAUUUGAAACUGUUUUUCUUGAGUACUGGGGAGGCAGACGGAAUUCCUAGUGUAGCGGUGAAAUGCGUAGAUAUUAGGAGGAACACCAGUGGCGAAGGCGGUCUGCUGGACAGCAACUGACGCUGAGGCGCGAAAGCGUGGAGAGCAAACAGGAUUAGAUACCCGUGUAGUC